GGCGUGUACUGCUUGGCUGGGCCUUACUUCUUGGUGAGCCGGCCUGCCCUUUAUUGGUGUGCGUCGGGGAACCAAGACUUUUACCUUGAGAAAAUUAGAGUGUUCAAAGCAGGCCUAUGCCUGAAUACAUUAGCAUGGAAUAAUAAAAUAAGACGUGCGGUUCUAUUUUGUUGGUUUCUAGAGUCCCCGUAAUGAUUAAUAGGGACAGUUGGGGGCAUUGGUAUUGAGUCGCUAGAGGUGAAAUUCUUGGAUUGACUCAAGACCGACUAUUGCGAAAGCAUUUGCCAAGGAUGUUUUCAUUAAUCAAGAACGAAGGUUAGGGGAUCGAAAACGAUCAGAUACCGUUGUAGUCUUAACAGUAAACUAUGCCGACUAGGGAUCGGAUGACCUCAAAAUUGAUGUGUCAUUCGGCACCUUACGAGAAAUCAAAGUCUUUGGGUUUUGGGGGGAGUAUGGUCGCAAGGGUGAAACUUAAAGGAAUUGACGGAAGGGCACCCCCAGGUGUGGAGCCUGCGGCUUAAUUUGACUCAACACGGGGAAACUCACCAGGUCCAGACAUAAAUAGGAUUGACAGAUUGAUAGCUCUUUCAUGAUUUUAUGGGUGGUGGUGCAUGGCCGUUCUUAGUUGGUGGAGUGAUUUGUCUGGUUAAUUCCGAUAACGAACGAGACCUUAACCUCCUAAAUAGCCAGGCCGGCUUCGGCUGGUCUCUGGCUUCUUAGAGGGACGGUCAG
rnacentral:rRNA from 1 species